AACGCGAAGAACCUUACCUGGUCUUGACAUACUGAUGACCGGCCCAGAGAUGGGUUUUCCUCUUCGGAGGCAUCAGAUACAGGUGGUGCAUGGUUGUCGUCAGCUCGUGUCGUGAGAUGUUGGGUUAAGUCCCGCAACGAGCGCAACCCCUAUCGUUAGUUGCCAGCAUUAAGAUGGGGACUCUAGCGAGACUGCUAGUGACAAACUGGAGGAAGGUGGGGAUGACGUCAAAUCAUCAUGCCCCUUAUGACCUGGGCUACACACGUGCUACAAUGGUUGGUACAAAGAGAAGCGAAGCGGUGACGUGGAGCAAACCUCAUAAAGCCAAUCUCAGUUCGGAUUGUAGGCUGCAACUCGCCUACAUGAAGUUGGAAUCGCUAGUAAUCGCGAAUCAGAAUGUCGCGGUGAAUACGUUCCCGGGUCUUGUACACACCG
rnacentral:rRNA from 1 species